GACGGACGCUGGCGGCGCGCUUAACACAUGCAAGUCGAACGGAAAGGCCUGCUUUCCCUUGUGGAUUGCGGGUACUCGAGUGGCGAACGGGUGAGUAACACGUGAGUGAUCUGCCCCCAACUUGGGUAUAAGCCUGGGAAACUGGGUCUAAUUCCCGAUAGGACUGCAGGGUGGUGCCUGUGGUGGAAAACGAUUUUCUAGUGGUUGGGGAUGAGCUCGCGGCCUAUCAGCUUGUUGGUGGGGUAAUGGCCUACCAAGGCGGCGACGGGUAGCCGGCCUGGGAGGGUGGACGGCCACAUUGGGACUGAGAUACGGCCCAGACGCCUACGGGAGGCAGCAGUGGGGAAUAUUGCACAAUGGGCGGAAGCCUGAUGCAGCGACGCCGCGUGGGGGAUGACGGCCUUCGGGUUGUAAACUCCUUUCGACCGCGAGGAAGCCACCUGGUUGGAAGGGUGGUGACGGUAGUGGUAGAAGAAGCACCGGCUAACUACGUG
rnacentral:rRNA from 1 species